CUGGCUCAGGACGAACGCUGGCGGCGUGCUUAACACAUGCAAGUCGAACGGGAGUAUUGAAGAAGCUUGCUUAGAGAUACUUAGUGGCGGACGGGUGAGUAACGCGUGAGGAGCUGUCCUAUGCAGGGGGACAACAGCUGGAAACGGCUGCUAAUACCCCAUAAGCCGAGAGGUAAAAGGAUCAAUCCGGCAGAGGAGGUACUCGCGUCCUAUCAGCUAGUAGGUGAGGUAACGGCUCACCUAGGCGAAGACGGGUAGCCGGCCUGAGAGGGCGAACGGCCACACUGGAACUGAGAUACGGUCCAGACUCCUACGGGAGGCAGCAGUGGGGAAUAUUGGGCAAUGGGGGAAAUCCUGACCCAGCGACGCCGCGUGGGUGAAGAAAUCCUUCGGGAUGUAAAGCCCUGUUGUAUGGGAAGAGCGGAAGACGGUACCAUACGAGGAAGCCCCGGCAAACUACGUGCCAGCCGCUGC
rnacentral:rRNA from 1 species